rnacentral:rRNA from 1 species
AGCCCUUGACAUCCCGGUCGCGGACUCCAGAGACGGAGUUCUUCAGUUCGGCUGGACCGGAGACAGGUGCUGCAUGGCUGUCGUCAGCUCGUGUCGUGAGAUGUUGGGUUAAGUCCCGCAACGAGCGCAACCCCCGUCUUAGUUGCUACCAUUUAGUUGAGCACUCUAAGGAGACUGCCGGUGAUAAGCCGCGAGGAAGGUGGGAUGACGUCAAGUCCUCAUGGCCCUUACGGGCUGGG